ACCUCAUAAACUAAAAAGCAUUCUGAUGAAGAUUGCUAUUAUUAAAGAAAAGGCCAGAGAAAACAUCAAAAUGGCUGAAAAACCAAAUCUUUUAAAAAAAGCAGCAUAUUUAAAUAAUGCAAUUGUAGUUUAAAUUCUUAUCAUGUUACAAAAGGCUUCUGCUAUGAAAUACGAUCCUCUUAAACAGAGGAAAACCCAAUAUUUAACAAAGUAUGGCUAUGCUUUUUCAUCAAAUAUGUUCAACAAAAAUUGAUUUUGACAUGGAUAAUGUGAAAAAAAAAGAAAAUACAAAUGUAUACAGAAUAUGAUGAUAUUUUAUUGCAUGUAUUGUAACACUUUUUUUUUAAAUUCAGCGAUAUGCAUAACCUGUGUAUUUCAAUACUCAGGCAAGUUAUAAAUAGAACUUAAUUGAUGUUAUAUUCCUGGUUUGAACAAUAUUUUAUUGAAACUAAAUCAAACAACUUAGGAUAAUAAGCAUUAACAAUAGCAUUCAGAAACCAGUAACACGACACUGCCAGUUAUCUAUUUAAAUAAGAAUAUGUGGUAUGAUUUCUAAUAAAACAACUCUCCACCACAGACCUAAUGACUUUGAAGUUAACAAAUAUAUUGGCCAUUUAGGCAUUCAACAAUUAGUUAAUGUCAUACCGUUUAAGAUCGCCAGCAUAUAAUACAACAGUCUAAAUACCAUUCUCACAUUGAAUUAUAAAUGACAUCAAGUCAUCAAGCAGUAUGGAAGCAACAUCUAUUGAAACAGUGGCGUUGAAUAAACAUUCUUUCACAACGAUGUAAUUUUUAAUACAUUUCCUUUGUAAAAUACAGUAUGCAGUCAGACACAUUUCAUGGAUCAAAAACAAAGCAUGCCUGCAUGUGUUAAUCCACAAACUUACACACACACAUACACAUACUAAAUGUGUUAAAAUACAAUAGGCGACCAUUAAAAAACAAGAUUAAAAAAAAAUCAGUUAUAUACAGAACUAAAUUGAAAAGUGCAAAAUUAGUGUGUACCCUAUCAUAUAACACCGAACUGUGUAACAAAUAAGAAUAGAUAAUUGUUUGUUGAUUUUUUUGGUUCCAAAUAAGGCUUUAUUAACAAUUUUAGUAAAAUGCAUUGGAAUGUAAGACAACUGAAAUUAGCAAUUUAAAUAUUGGCACGAAAAAAAAAAAACAGUUUUAGUAUACGUCUGAUUAACAACGAAUUAUUAUUCGCAAGUUUUAUACUAUGGACAGUCCCAAAUAAGUGGAAAAAAGCCUCAUUUUUCAAUAGCAUUUUUUCAAAUUAAGUUCAUCUAUUGAAUAAUAACUUUAAAAAAGAAUAAAAACAUUCAGUUCAACCAUGUAUUUGUCGAUAACACUGGAUUUCACAUACAUGAUAAUAUUUAACAACAUUAACAGCUAAAAAUUAUAUGGAUACAGGCACUAGUAAUCAUAAUUAUUUACAACGCAACAAUAACAAAAUAUACAGAUGACAUGUAAAAAAGAUUAAUAUCUGUAAUUCUGAAUUACGAAUGAGUGAGUUUUGAAAUAAUCUUCAAACAGUUGCAAAAAUACAUUUGAUUUCUUAUGUUCAAUAUGCACAAACAUGACCACUAGGAUUUUUAGUUUUUGGAAAUAUAAUGCAAUCUUUUAAUUUCUUUUUGUUCAUGCAUUCACCAUGAAUAAUUAAUAAUUAACAGCAUGUAACAACCCUUAGAAAUCGUUAAAAAGGGCAAAAACCCACUCAAAUUCAACUUAAAUCCACAGGUUCCAUAUAAACCGAGUCAGCAGUAAAUAUUUAUAUAAAAUAAAAGGUUAAUUUAAAAACAACUAAAACACAACACUUAUAAUUAGUACUAACAGAUAGACAAUAAAUCAGUGGUUAAUAUAUAUGCAUAGAAAAAUUACAUACAAUUAUAUUCAAUAGUAUUGUUUGAACUUUGUUUCCAAACAUAAAAUUACCAAUGACCAAUGAUUUAGCAUUAUGUUCAUUCUAAUUUUCAUAUACUAUACAGCGACUCAGUUUCCAAUUCGUUUUUAUUGAAAUCAAGAUAUGCAUGUUUAGUAAUCCUAAAGAUGUCUUUAACUAUUAUUUCCACUGAAUGAAUUACAUGAUUAUAUUUACAUAUAAAGCUUGCAUAUGAUGGCAACUGAGUUCCGAAUGUUUAUUUACAUGAAGAGAGAUAUAUGACUAUUCUUAUUAAUAAUAAAUAAAUAAUGGUAACCUCAUUCUCUCUCUAUCAAUUGCUUACUCCAACUCACCAUUUUGACUUUGAUAAGCUAGACGAAACUGGCGAUUUAAAUCAAUUUCUCGAAGCAUGAAACAUUUCAGAAGUUUCAGUACUUACACAUUUAUAUUCACUUUUACUAUCAUAUAAUACAAUACAUCUAUUUGAGGUAAAACUAGGAACACAAUGACCUAAUUACCACCAACAAAUUAACCAAUUUUCCGUACUUUAGGUCCUCAAUUCAAAUUAACCAAUGCUUUUAUAUAUCUACAUUUCUAUGUCAUUGCGGUAGUUAUGGUGGUGCUUCUUGUUGUACUGAUUUAAUUUUUACACCAAAUUUCAGGUAUUUUAGCUCAUGAAAGACAAUACACGAAAAUUUGUAGGUUCGUACCCAAUUUUAACACGUGUUAUUCAUUGUUUUGACUUUGUUUGUACAUCUGAAUAUCGUAUCUUCGUGGCUUUUUUGGUUUGUUGUACUAUCAAAACUUUUGGUAAUUAUUAAUAUCCAUUUUUACUUUUUUUAUACCUGGCUUUUAUGUCAUAGUGGACACAUAUUAUGUGUGCUUGCCUGAAUCAUACUACUUUGUCCUAUCUCGUUGUACAUUUUAAAUGUGUUUAUGGGGGUAAAAAUAAUAAACAAUCUUUAUUUAUAGUCUGUUUCUUUCGGUGUUUUCUGAAACAUCUAUUAUUUCUUAGAAAAUGUCGACAAUAAAGACGACAACACUUCAGGUGUUGGUUCACUUAUAUUUAUACAUUUUUUUUAGAAAAGCAUAAAAGUUAACAA
rnacentral:lncRNA from 1 species